rnacentral:sRNA from 1 species
AUAUAGGGACUGCGUAGAGGAACGGAGGUUCUCCUCGCUAUCGUAGCGCAAACGGUCGAUUCAUCCGCAAGCUCCCUGGUC